UCCGCUUGUAGCUUCACCAUG
rnacentral:piRNA from 1 species